rnacentral:rRNA from 1 species
UACAGAGGUCCCAAGCGUUGUUCGGAUUCAUUGGGCCUAAAGGGUGCGUAGGCGGCGCGGUAAGUCGGGUGUGAAAUCUCGGGGCUUAACUCCGAAACUGCAUUCGAUACUGCCGUGCUUGAGGACUGGAGAGGAGACUGGAAUUUACGGUGUAGCGGUGAAAUGCGUAGAUAUCGUAAGGAAGACCAGUGGCGAAGGCGGGUCUCUGGACAGUUCCUGACGCUGAGGCACGAAGGCCAGGGGAGCAAACGGG